GUCUGAGCGGAGCGAGGAGAAGGCUGAUUAAACACACUACAUUGAAUGCAACAAAUAAUUACUGUAUUUUUCAACUCAUGCAGAUAAAAAAAGACCUAUGGACCAGCCGUCUGACUCUAGUCUUUAUUCAUCACAACACAACGCAGAGGGGUAGCCGAGUCGUAAUAGCAGAGACACGCAAGUCCGAACCGGCUACAGAAGCAACAAGUCA